AGACAAAGCCAAAGCCAAACCCAAUUUCAAUAUUUUCCUCUCAUUCUCUUUUUUUACAUCCAUUCGGUUUCUUCCUUCUCUCUCCAUAAGCCUCCGAUUUUUCCUUCUCUCUUCUCUGCAUUCCACAGGUUUGGUUGAAUUGUUUUGAAAGUUUAUGAAGCUGUUUCAAUUUGGUUCGGAUUUUGUGGGUAAGAGGUGGAGUUUUCUGUCACAGAUUUGAAUUGUGUGGAGCUGCAAAUUUCCUCGGCUUCGAACUCGGAAGAGGCAAAACACCAGGAAAUGGAGAACAAAGUUGCGCAGCACUUGCAGUGUUAAGGAGGCCAAAGAUGUUGGAAAGUGAAAUGGAAAACAUAGAGAAGAUCUCUUUCAUGGAUAUACGAACUGAGCACUUAGCACUUUUCUA